ensembl:lncRNA FRG2KP FSHD region gene 2 family member K, pseudogene
GGUUGAAGAAGUGGCCAGAAAAAGAAAAGUAUUUUGAUGGCAGGCUGGAGAACAUCAUGAGAGUAAACUUUAGGCCUGUUGACUGUCAUUUUGGCAAUGUAUUGGGCCCUGGCCAAAGUGCUUGGAUGCAACGUGGGGCCAAUCAAUAAAUCCAUCCCCCAUGCUUUUCCUGGCCAUGAGGUAAUCGGCAGCCUAGUUCAUGUCUUGAUGGGAACCUUUGCCAUGUGGAAGGAUCACAUCUCAGGUUUCUUGACAACUGGAUGACUUUUGAGAACAAAGAUCUAGGACAGAUCUAUUCUUGGAUUGUGGACAGGCAUCAGCCUACUAACAUCAUAUGGAACAGGUCUCCUUUACAGAAAGGGGCUUGGAUAAGGAGGAAAGACCAUCAGAAGAAAAGAUAAGACACUGUCUUCUCAUUCCAGUAAGAGCCACAUGCAAGGCAAGAAUCAGAGUCCAGCUCAGAUGGGGGAACUCUAGGAAGAGAGAAAUCCAUUCCAUGGACAGCUGCCAAGAUAGAGCAGGACAGCAUCAAGGACAUGAGCCGAAAGUGCAAAAGGACUGCUUGACUUUGGAAAAGAAACCAAAGGCCUCUCUGACACUGUACACAUCAGUGAAAUGAGGAGACCCAUGAUGCCUGCUGUGGGGGACCCCCAGAGGCCCACACCGGGCACAGCAAGCGGCCCAGAUCUCAGUCUCUAGGAGACCACCCACUGCCACUUCAGAAAAGCCUGGUGACCUCUCUGCACACUCCAUCUGAAGCCAUUUAUCACAACACAGCCCAGGUGUGGGAACAGUAGGCCUAUUCUCUGCUGACCUGGGAGCAGCUGUCUGAGCUCACCCUGGCUCCAGGGGGACUCUGUGCUAUGGUACAAACCUGUGCCGUGGCCGCCCAGAUGGCCUAUGUCUUUCCCACUGAGGGCUGGCUCAUCCCAGCCACACUCCCUGGUCCCUAGGAUCCGGCCCUGAAUGGA